CGGGGGGAGCAAGCGUUGUUCGGAUUUACUGGGCGUAAAGGGCGCGUAGGCGGCCUCUGCAAGUCGACUGUGAAAUCUCCGGGCUUAACCCGGAACGGUCAGCCGAUACUGCAGGGCUAGAGUGCAGAAGGGGCAACUGGAAUUCUCGGUGUAGCGGUGAAAUGCGUAGAUAUCGAGAGGAACACCUGCGGCGAAGGCGGGUUGCUGGGCUGACACUGACGCUGAGGCGCGAAAGCUAGGGGAGCGAACGGGAUUAGAUACCCCGGUAGUCCUAGCCUUAAACGAUGAAUGCUUGGUGUCUGGGGUUUUAUAGUCCCCGGGUGCCGUCGCUAACGCUUUAAGCAUUCCGCCUGGGGAGUACGGUCGCAAGACUG
rnacentral:rRNA from 1 species